UGUUGGGUCAGACUACCUACCUGUCUGCAAUGGUAAUCAACUACGGGUGUCUGGUGGCUGUGUAUCGCAACUGUGGGGAGUCCGUCAGCUCCAAAGUUGAGACUAUAGUACUCAUUAUUGUGCUCACCUUUCAAUUCAGUCUCCAUGCCUACCUUCUCAACAGGUUUUUUACUCGAAGAGGAAAAGCAAAACAUUUUAUUAAUGAGUGCGAAAGACGUUACGAAGUGGAAGUGAAGAGCAUCCUCUCUCAAGGUCCUCGACGAAAGUUCUCGACUUUUAGCGAGAAAGCCAACAGGACUUUUGUCAAUGACUCGUUUAGCGUCGGAAGUGCAACCAACAUUGCCCGGCCGUCAUUAAGCAGUUACAUAGAGUCGUCACUAUCUCGUACUCAAUCUCAAAGCCAGUAUGAAACGAUUAGCGAAGGAGUGACAAUGCAAAUGGGACUUGAUUCGGACAAAGUUGAAAAUGGAACUAACGCAGUGAACAAAAGUGUAAGAUUUCCCAUUGUGUCUGAUGAAAGAGAGUACCAAUGAACAUUUGAGAAGUAUUGCAUUCGCACCAAAAUAUUUGUUAAGUCAUCACUUCUAUUUUGGGGUCCUUUGAUUUAUUCCGCCCAAAUUUUGUAAUUUGUGAAGUCAAUGUAUAACUGGUCGUUAUAAAAGUAGUAAUCAUUCUAAUACCAAUUCACAGAUUUUUAGUUAA